CAGCAGCCGCGGUAAUACGUAGGUGGCAAGCGUUGUCCGGAAUUAUUGGGCGUAAAGGGCUCGCAGGCGGUUUCUUAAGUCUGAUGUGAAAGCCCCCGGCUCAACCGGGGAGGGUCAUUGGAAACUGGGAAACUUGAGUGCAGAAGAGGAGAGUGGAAUUCCACGUGUAGCGGUGAAAUGCGUAGAGAUGUGGAGGAACACCAGUGGCGAAGGCGACUCUCUGGUCUGUAACUGACGCUGAGGAGCGAAAGCGUGGGGAGCGAACAGGAUUAGAUACCUCUGUAGUCCCUGUCUCUUAUAC
rnacentral:rRNA from 1 species